rnacentral:rRNA from 1 species
AUGUAUUGGGAUUUGAAAGACAUUUUCUGGUGGACCGAAAUGAAGAAGGAUAUUGCGGAGUACGUAGCAGUUUGUGAUGUAUGUCAGAGAGUAAAAGCAGAGCAUCAGAAGCCAGCAGGAUUGCUACAAUCAUUGCUGAUACUCGAAUGGAAGUGGGAUAAAUUAGGCAUGGGUUUUAUCACGGGAUUACCCAGGACUCGUUCAGGCUAUGACUCGAUUUGGGUUGUAGUCGAUCGAUUGAUGAAGGUAGCUCAUUUCAUCCCAAUAAAGACCACUUACACCAGUGCUAAGUUGGCAAAGAUAUACAUGACCAGGAUCGUAUGUCUACAUGGAGUUCCGAGGAGUAUCGUAUCAGAUAGAGGAACCCAGUUUACCUCAAAGUUCUGUAAGCGGUUGCAUGAAACUUUGGGUACCAGGCUAGAAUUCAGUACAGCUUUUCAUCCACAGAUAGAUGGACAGACCGAGAGAGUCAAUCAGAUUUUGGAGGAUAUGCUGAGAGCUUGUGCGCUAGAUUAUGGAUCUAGUUGGGACGACAAUUUGCCAUAUGCAGAGUUCUCUUACAAUAACAGUUACCAAACCAGUUUAAAGAUGGUCCCUUUCGAAGCUUUGUACGGAAGGAGGUGCAGGACACCGUUGUCGUGGGACGAAAUUGGAGAUCGUCAGUUGUUUGGACCCGACUUGAUUAAAGAGUCUGAACAGAAAGUGAAGUUGAUUCGCGACAGGCUCAAGAUAGCCCAGUCCAGACAGAAGAGUUAUGCAGAUUCUAAACGGAAGGAGACAGUUUACGAAGUUGGAGAUAGAGCUUAUCUUCGAGUAUCACCACUUCGGGGAACAAAGCGUUUUGGGGUUAAAUGA